rnacentral:rRNA from 1 species
AUACGGAGGGUGCGAGCGUUAAUCGGAAUUACGGGGCGUAAAGCGUACGUAGGCGGACUGAUCAGUUGGGGGUGAAAUCCCAGGGCUUAACCCUGGAACUGCCUUCAAUACUGUCAGUCUUGAGUUUGGGAGAGGUGAGUGGAAUUCCUAGUGUAGAGGUGAAAUUCAUAGAUAUUAAGAGGAACACCAGUGGCGAAGGCGGCUCACUGGCCCAUUACUGACGCUGAGGUACGAAAGCGUGGGGAGCAAACAGGAUUAGAAACCCUAGUAGUCC